rnacentral:lncRNA from 1 species
AUUUGAGCAGGAGGACUGUGUGUCCCAGACUAUAAAGAAAAGCAAGCUUGUUUUCUACCUGCUUCCUCUUUUUGCUUUCUCCUGCUCCCACCAGCCCUACUCUUUUUUCCGAAUUAAGACUCCACAGAACCUGCCUUUUAUUUCCCCUUUGCAAAGCUACUGUUACAUCAUUAUAAAAGGGACAUUCCCUCUUUUUCCAGAAAUAUUCCUAAGAAAAGAAAAACAGCCUGUUAUAUAAGAGUGUCUGAAAAAACUAGAACUUUCACUCAAGGUAUUCAUACAAACCAACAUUUCCUGACUGAAUGCAAAUAGGACACUUCUUUGAAAUGAGGAGCGACAAAUUUUUAACCUUUCUAGAAUUCAUGACAGAAUACUGUUUUUUUUUUUUUUUUAACGCUGUCUCCAUUGAAAGUCAGUUACUGAAUGGUAGGACACAAUUCUUAUGAAUUUUGUAGAAAGACAAAUAAUAUUCUCAUCUACAACUGUGUGAAGAAAAAUAGAAAAAUACUUGCCAUGUGUUAAAUCCUUACACUAUGGAGAAUACUAUGCAAACUGCUUUCAACUGCCUGCGUUCAUUUAAGAAUCACAACAACUAUGACCUCACUAAUUCCACAAGAGACCUUCUUCUGUCCAGCCUGUUGUUUUUAUUCCAAAUGAUGACAACACUGUUUCUCACCUCCAGCCCAGACCGACAUUCAUCUUGUGUACUGAUAGAGUCCAGAGAAGAAUCUCUUUUCUGUCUUUCCAUCCAAUAGUUGAAUUUUG